rnacentral:misc_RNA from 1 species
AAAAAAAAAAAAAACACUCAAAACUUACUAAAUAGUGCAACUCAGUAUCUUCAACCUUUGCUCAACCACCAAAGAAUUUUAUACAGAAAAUGAAACAAUGACAAUUGCAUGGAAAAUAGGAAAUGCAUAUAUUCUGAGACCAGAAAUUCAUUGAAGUUGACUAAACAUUGACAUUGUACAUCAUAACUAUUACACAACAGUCUUGACUAAGGACAUGAAAAUUUAGUAGUUUGAAUAGACUGCAUUUAUCAAACAUAUCAAAUGCACAUAAUUUUUGUUCAAAAGACAGACAGUCAUCCACUCUUACCUUGUUAGCAAUAUUAUUGGAGA